GGCGUAAUUUAUGGAUGACCCCUUAUCCGUAUGUAAGAAAGAAAGGUAUCCAUAGUAACUAAAUAAAAAUAACUAUCACUUUCAUAAGAAGCGCAACCUCAUAUUGGUAAAUGCAAAAUAAGGUACCCAAGCAGCAUAAAACAGAAAAUAGCACCUUCAUAAGAAGAAUAUUAGUACUCAUGCCAAUUUACAACUGUUCGUUACAGAAAGUAGAACAAUGUUUUAGAAAUAUGCUUUACAGAAGAUGGUUCUUUUUGUUGAUGUCAUGGUAUGUAUGGGCUAUUUACAGAAUUGUCUCAGACGUAUGUGGCAUCUGGCUGGUGUUUCUUCAUUCAUUCAUCACAGAAAAGCCCAAAAGCAAUACUUUUGCAUAAUGGAAAUCUUAAGCCAUUCAUCUCUAUUGAAUUUUCUGUUUAUCUUAAACAGACAUUUGAUAUUAUGAAUAUAAAAAUUAUAACAAAUAAGAGAGUCAUCAAUAGAACAUCUGCUGAAAUAUUAAAGUUUUAAGUUAUUGUAAUGGGUACGCAUGGAUUUACAAAAAAUAUUGUUGUUUUUUUUGCCUGUGGGAAACAUGGAUUUACAAAAAAUAUUGUUGUUUUUUUUGCCUGUGGGAAAGUUGUGCCAAAAUAAAACAACACAACAAAUGCGACUGGGCACUAAAGUCUAAAUAUGUUCCAGAAACAAGCAGUGCUUAAUCUUUUUAGCUUAUUCUCAAAAGAUCUUCUUACCACCAUUCCAUACUAAACAUAAGCAAAGUCAAUUCACUUGUGUUCCAAAACCUUUCUGAAAAAUUAGAAAUGUAUUGAAACGAGAAAAUGUGGAAGAAAAAGUCCGAUGCAUAUAAGGAUAAAGUUAAAAAACUCAUCAACUGUUAUUAAGAAAUGAAUUGUUAAAUAUCUUUGAAAAUGUACUUCCCGCUUUUUGAUUUAGAUUUCUUUCGUGAAAACCUUGGUGUAGUGAGUGACAAGCAAGACGCUUUAAUCAAGACAAAAAAGUUGUGGAAUUACGCUACCAAGGAUUUGGGAACGAAUACACGAUGGGUUGUUGUUUUUUGAUAUUCCAUCGUGAAAUUCUAGACCAAACGUUUAAAAAAAAAAAGUAUACUCUCAACGCUCUGAAGGUUUUGUAUUGCGUAUACUUUUAUUUUACAAGUGUGUUCAAUAUUAUCUUUAAUGUAAAUGAGUUGCUUGCAGAAGGUGAAUGAAAGAAAGCACAAUUAAUGUUAUUAUGAAAAAAUAAUAGCGAUCUCAUCGUCUGAAACAAAUUCAUCAUUUGUAAUGUCUUGUAGACCAAUAAAAAAAAUAUUCUUUUGAUAUUAUAGUUACAAUGCACACUAAUUUAUCUUUACUGUUCGUGCUCAGACCUCCACAAACAUACGUCACUACUCACAUUCAACCUAAGAUUUAAUUCUGGAGAAACUGCUGAAUUACAAAAUAAAUAUAAAUUUUUGAAGUUCUUACCAAUAUUAGAACCAUAUCCACCAAAACAACCAAACGUGCCAUUAUCUAACGAAUAAAACGUUUCUCCUGUAUGGCAAGAACACAAUCUAGUUUUACCGUCCCAUAUCGCUAACGGAGCAUAGUAAGAACAUGUUGCAUGAUCAGGUAACUUCAAUGCAUCUCCUAACCAACUUCGCUCAAUGGUAUCGUAACAAAACACAAAACAAAUCCAGUUUAGAGUUAAAAGAUUGAAAA